rnacentral:rRNA from 1 species
AUGAACGCUGGCGGCCUGCCUAAUACCUGCAAGUAGAACGCUGAAGGCGGAGCUUGCUCUUCUGGAUGAGUUGCGAACGGGUGAGUAACGCGUAGGUAACCUGCCUGGUCGCGGGGGAUAACUAUUGGAAACGAUAGCUAAUACCGCAUGACAACAGUUAUUGCCUUAUAACUUUUUAAAAGGGGCAACUGCUCCACUACCAGAUGGACCUGCUUUGUAUUAGCUAGUUGGUGAGGUAACGGCUCACCGAGGCGACGAUACAUAGCCGACCUGAGAGGGUGAUCGGCCACACUGGGACUGAGACACGGCCCAGACUCCUACGGGAGGCAGCAGUAGGGAAUCUUCGGCAAUGGACGGGAGUCUGACCGAGCAACGCCGCGUGAGUGAAGAAGGUUUUCGGAUCGUAAAGCUCUGUUGUAAGAGAAGAACGAGUGUGAGAGUGGAAAGUUCACACUGUGACGGUAGCUUACCAGAAAGGGACGGCUAACUACGUG